rnacentral:misc_RNA from 1 species
AAAAAUUUUUGCUCGUUAGUAGAUGUCAAAAAUAAAUGCAUUUGUCAUGUAGAAUUAGCUUAGCUUGAAUUGCAGCAUUGAAGUGCACCAUAAAAGCAUAAAAAAAAGGGAAAAUAAUAUCCCCUGAUUAAAUCCCUUAAAGUUUGUGCAUAAGCAGAAAGUAUCCAGUGACGAGCUAAUCAAGGCACUUGUAGGUUGCAGCAACAACAGCAAGCAAGUGAUGGAUCUUGAGAGUACCACCAAAACAAGUACGGGGCAGGCAUGUACCAACACAUGCAUAUUUUACUCAUAUCCGAGAAUUUUCAAUGCUAAUUUGUGGUUUAGAUAAAGAAAAAAAAUCAAAGGUUAAUUUUGAAAGCUUUAAAAUCUAAUGAUGAAAAACAUGCAUGUUGCGUAACACAUAAAAUGGCAAGACCUAUGCAACUAAUUUGAUCCUUUUCUUGGCCAAGAGCUCCAAGCAAGGACAGAAAUUAUUACAUAUAGCAAAUAAAUUACUAGUUAUAAUACAAUUAUUACAUAUAUAACAGUUAUAUUUUAAAAUUUCUGACCAUAUGCUAUUGCAGCUGUGUUGGUGCAUCGAGAAUUAAAAAAAAAAACUUAAAUCCAUGUGGUUCGAACGGUCCUCCCCAUAUUCUUGCAUUGACCAUGGGCAUAUACAGCUGUUUGUUCGCACCUCCAGAUAUUCUAGAUGCACUAGAAUGCUAUUGCCAACAAAAGACUCAAUUGGAAAUUAUUGUUUAGUCCAUGGUUCACCAUGAACCAUAACAAUAUGGUACGCUUAUCCCACAUUGGUCAAAUAAGAGGAGUUUCUGAGACAUAUAAACGAGUGUGCAGGCAUAAGCGGGUGUGUGGAGGGAGGGUAAUGACCCUGUGACAAAUAUCAUAGCGUUAUGAGUUAUGAUUCGUGAUGCCCUACGAUCUAGGCAAGACUUUUUCUUUCUCAAGGGGCAAAUAACCAUAUAAAAACUCAAAAAACAAAUACCUAAAACACCAUAUACCAGACAUCAAUGGUUAAAAUAUUUAAGCUAGGAGUAAGAUUAAAUAAUAAUGUGGUACCAGCGAAAAUUCCAACACAGUCAACAAUGGUAAGACGGUGCUUAUGCGUCAGUUUUUGCCACUUCUAGAACAUAAAUAUUUCUUUAAGAAUAGCGCUUAAUUCUAGAGAAAAUGCCUGGACCAGGUACAUAAUCCAUCAUAGAUAAGAUCUAUACAAGAAUUUUCUGAAUUCUAGAAUACCCAAAAACCACGCAGAAAGCUAUAAUCAAACACAAAACCCAUCAACCGUCCAAUUACUUAUUUAUUAAACUAAGCGCAGAUAGAGAACACUUAAAUCGACAAAUAGUUAAAGGAAAGAAGGAAGGAAGGAAGAAAGAAAG